rnacentral:rRNA from 1 species
UACGAAGGGUGCAAGCGUUAUCCGGAUUCACUGGGUUUAAAGGGUGCGUAGGCGGACAGGUAAGUCAGUGGUGAAAUCUCCGAGCUUAACUCGGAAACUGCCAUUGAUACUAUCAGUCUUGAAUAUUGUGGAGGUUAGCGGAAUAUGUCAUGUAGCGGUGAAAUGCUUAGAUAUGACAUAGAACACCAAUUGCGAAGGCAGCUGGCUACGCAUAUAUUGACACUGAGGCACGAAAGCGUGGGGAUCAAACAGG